UACGAAGGGGGCGAGCGUUGUUCGGAUUUACUGGGCGUAAAGGGCGCGUAGGCGGCGCAACAAGUCAGGCGUGAAAGCCCGGGCUCAACCUGGAGGUGCGCUUGGGACUGUUGUGCUUGAGUGCGGAAGAGGCGAGUGGAAUUCCUGGUGUAGCGGUGAAAUGCGCAGAUAUCAGGAGGAACACCAAUUGCGAAGGCAGCUCGCUGGGACGUAACUGACGCUGAGACGCGAAAGCGUGGGGAGCAAACAGG
rnacentral:rRNA from 1 species